GAUGAAGAACGUAGCGAAAUGCGAUAAGUAAUGUGAAUUGCAGAAUUCAGUGAAUCAUCGAAUCUUUGAACGCACAUUGCGCCCGCUAGUAUUCUGGCGGGCAUGCCUGUCCGAGCGUCAUUUCAACCCUCAAGCCCCCGGGCUUGGUGUUGGGGAUCGGCGAGCCUCCGCGCCCGCCGUCCCCUAAAUCUAGUGGCGGUCUCGCUGUAGCUUCCUCUGCGUAGUAGCACGCCUCGCACUGGGAAACAGCGCGGCCACGCCGUUAAACCCCCAACUUCUGAACGUUUGACCUCGGAUCAGGUAGGAAUACCCGCUGAACUUAAGCAUAUCAAUAAGCGGAGGA
rnacentral:misc_RNA from 1 species